CCAAACACUUGGUGUUUUUUCUCAACCAGCGCAUGUUUUACAUGCAAAUGGCCACUUUUAAAAAGUGCUGCCAGGGUUUUUUACGCCACAGCGUAAAAACGUCCGAAGAUGGGAGAAAAAGUUUUGUUUUUUCAGAAAAUUGCCGAGCGACUAAACCAAUCACGUCCCAAGUUGCGCUUGAGCGUGAAAAACAAACAUGGAGGACAAAGUAGUGAAUAAUGAGUGAAUACGAGGAGGUUUACGACAUGUCAAAUCGAAAAUAUUUCCACAAUUCAAAAUUUGCGAUUUAACUAAAAAUAACGUGUCUGUUUUCACUGUUAAGUCGCACAAACUCUUGUGAUUUUCUGCUUCCAAAACUACAGCAUAGACAAACAGCUUCCUCAUUACCCAUCUUUAUUGCGUCUGCAUUACUGGGAAUAAUAAUAGCACGUUCGAGUCAUGUCGGAAAGAUCAUAUUUAUGAGUUGAACACACACGAACGCCACCACAAAGUCGUAAUUACGAGUGGGAAACUCUGGAUUUUCUUUGCGAGUUUCCGAGUGGAGGUCAUCAGUAAGAAAACAUGGCGGAAUCAGUGGAUGCAACGUCUGUGGUUGAUGGUAAAUUUGUUCAAAUUGAAUGUUUUCUCACCUCAGAAGCUGAUUUCAGUUAUUCCCCUGGGAUACGGUGCGAGUUAAAUGUCAGGCUUUUUUAUUGACAAUAAAACAAGCUAAUUUCCGUCACAAAAUACGAUAGAAUUGUACAAUUACCAAAUAAUAUGUAACGAUAAAGUUUACACUGGCUUCAUACAUUUAUUAAAAACAUUAAAAAAAAAAAAAAAAAGCUAAUCACACCUGAUGCGCAUUCUUUGUUCUCUUUAUUUUUUACAAGUACAGUUAAUAAACCUUGCUGUAUUUUUUUUUUUUGUCGUUAAUUAAGAGAAGGCCAUCUUGCUCUGAGCACUGCCUUGAACACACCUGAUGUCGUAAUUAAGACUUCCCAAUUCGUAAAAACGUACUUUUCAGGAGGACCCGAACGCACAGUAAAUCUAAUCUAGAGAGUGAAUUCAGCUAGUUAGUGCGCCGAUACCGUACUAGCACCGUGGCCAACUCGAUUUUUUUUUAACCAGACAAAUUUGCAGUUAGAAUAAAUGACCACUGAUUAAUAUAUUACUUUUAUUCAUGUUUAAACUACAUAAAAAGAAAAACAGGAGCAGUGAUCGAGAGUAAAAAAGUCUUCAAUUUGAUAACGUCGCUACGAUUGUCUCAUUUGCAAGCCGUGUUAACUUCAGAAGUAUUUUAUUCAACCUUGAGGAUUCAGUAUGCUUUUAUUUUAUUUGCCUGCCUGUAAGUAAUUCAUUAACAAUAUUCAAACACAAGACGGUAAGAUUGCUGAUGUAUUAUGCGUAUUAUGGUUUGUUUUUGUUGUUGUUGUUUUUUUGUUUUUUUUUUAAAAAAGUUUUACCUUGAAUGUAUAUUUUAUAUCAUCUUCCAAAUGAAGGCGUGUUCUGGACAGACAGCCAUUUUGAAAGAUGUUAGCUUGUUUGCCAUGUGACCAAAGUUCAAUCUCUAUUAUUUCUGUACAUUUAUGCUUUUUUUUUUUGCUUUUUUUUUUUUUCUAGAGACACUUAUAUUUUCUCUCAAUGCCAAGAAGCUGAGGUUUAUUUUUAUACGUCAUUGAUUCGUGCAGAUUUAUUGGUCUUUCAGUACAGAAUCGAGAAUUUGCAGUCACCCCCAUCGAAAUGUUUUACUUGACACAAAUUAUAAAUGUAUUAAAUGUCAGAAGCAUGCCCUAUAUCAAUAACUACAUAUAAUUAAAGAUAUAAAUAUAUAUGGACCGGUUACUUUGUACAAAAACAACCUAUCUGUUUAUAAGAAUUGUUUUAAAUAUCCAAAGCCUAAUGUAUAUGAUAUUUUUAUGUUUUGUUUUGGGUCUUUUUUUUUUUCUUUUUUUUUUAAGCAUGCAGAAAUCUGCUGAAUAGUUUAUGUUCUAUAUUUAAUGUAAUGAGUUCUAAAGGAAAAAAUUGUUGUUCUGUUGAUUUAAGAGAAGGAUUAACGCAAGCACUUUUGCUGUUUGUCAGCUAGACUUUAAACCUCUUCGGAUUUCGAGGGUGGGUGAUGGUUCAUUAUUUCAUUUGAGAUGCUGCUAUGACUAGUUUGGAGCAGAAAAGCUGUAUUUUUAAUUACUUUUUCAGCCAAGUAGCAAUAAAAAUUUAUACUGUGGAGUGUGUUUUAAGUCAUUUCUUUCAGAAAAGACAGAGAGGCGACCAUUCCAGAAAAUUCCAUUCGCAUCAAGUCACUGCAUCCUUAAAAGACAUUCAUACUGUGGCAAAAGAGAAGGUUCUCCGUGCAAGUAACGUCAGUAAGUAAAUAAAGUAAGGAAGAUGUCGGUAAGUAAUGCAGACUGUAAAUAAAGUCAGUAAAAUAAUAAAGUCAGUAAGUAAGUUAAGUCAAGUCAGUAAGUAAAGAAAGUCUGUAAGUGAAAUAAGCCAUUAUGCAAAGCAAGUAAGUUCAGUAAGUAAAUUAAGAAAGGUCAAUAAGAAAAGUACGUCAUUAAGUAGUCAGUAAGUAAAUUAAAACAUUAAGUCGGUAUCUAAAUAGAGUAAGUAAGUAAAUAGUAAAUUAGGUAAGUCAGUCAGUAAGUAAAUUAAAUUAGCAUUUAAAGUCGGUACAUAAAGUUAGUAACUAAAUAAAAUCAGUAAGUAAAGUAGGUGAAAUAAAUAAAGACAAGUGAGUGAAGUAAAGUCAGUAGGUAAAUAAUGACUGUAAGUAAAGUAAGGUCAUUAAGUAAAUAGUCAGUAGAUAAAUAAGUAAGUCAAGUCAUUAUGUAAAUAAAGUCAGUAGGUAAAUAAGUCAGUAAAGUAAGGUCCUUAUGUCAAUAAAGUCAGUAGGUAAAUAAGUCAGUAAAGUAAGGUCAUUAUGUAAAUAAAGUCAGUAGGUAAAUAAGUCAGUAAAGUAAGGUCCUUAUGUAAAUAAAGUCAGUAGGUAAAUAAGUCAGUAUAGUAAGGUCAUUAUGUAAAUAAAGUCAGUAGGUAAAUAAGUCAGUAAAGUAAGGUCCUUAUGUAAAUAAAGUCAGUAGGUAAAUAAGUCAGUAAAGUAAGGUCAUUAUGUAAAUAAAGUCAGUAGGUAAAUAAGUCAGUAAAGUAAGGUCCUUAUGUCAAUAAAGUCAGUAGGUAAAUAAGUCAGUAAAGUAAGGUCAUUAUGUAAAUAAAGUCAGUAGGUAAAUAAGUCAGUAUAGUAAGGUCAUUAUGUAAAUAAAGUCAGUAGGUAAAUAAGUCAGUAAAGUAAGGUCCUUAUGUAAAUAAAGUCAGUAGGUAAAUAAGUCAGUAAAGUAAGGUCCUUAUGUAAAUAAAGUCAGUAGGUAAAUAAGUCAGUAAAGUAAGGUCCUUAUGUAAAUAAAGUCAGUAGGUAAAUAAGUCAGUAAAGUAAGGUCAUUAUGUAAAUAAAGUCAGUAGGUAAAUAAGUCAGUAAAGUAAGGUCCUUAUGUAAAUAAAGUCAGUAGGUAAAUAAAUCAGUAAAGUAAGGUCCUUAUGUAAAUAAAGUCAGUAGGUAAAUAAGUCAGUAAAGUAAGGUCCUUAUGUAAAUAAAGUCAGUAGGUAAAUAAAUCAGUAAAGUAAGGUCCUUAUGUAAAUAAAGUCAGUAGGUAAAUAAGUCAGUAAAGUAAGGUCCUUAUGUAAAUAAAGUCAGUAGGUAAAUAAGUCAGUAUAGUAAGGUCAUUAUGUAAAUAAAGUCAGUAGGUAAAUAAGUCAGUAAAGUAAGGUCCUUAUGUAAAUAAAGUCAGUAGGUAAAUAAGUCAGUAAAGUAAGGUCAUUAUGUAAAUAAAGUCAGUAGGUAAAUAAGUCAGUAAAGUAAGGUCCUUAUGUAAAUAAAGUCAGUAGGUAAAUAAAUCAGUAAAGUAAGGUCAUUAUGUAAAUAAAGUCAGUAGGUAAAUAAGUCAGUAAGUAAAUAGUAAGUAAAGACAAAGUAAAGUAAGGUCAGUAAGUAAAUAAAGUCAUUAAGUGAAUUUAUAAAUUCGGUCAGUAAAAGUCAGUGAAGUCCAGUAAAUUUGCACGGAAAGUGUUUCUGAAGCGGUGUACUCGUCUAAGUGAAUCCUACAAAAAAGAUACACUUCCAAUUUAAUCAGAGAAAUCCACACCAGCAUCUUACGGACUUAAAUUUACUUGCUGUAGUUUGCAUCACUUACACUGUGUCCUCACUGGGAGCCUGUUAUGAGAAAAGGGAUCGUAAACCAUUAUAAUGACUGCUGCAUGUGGAUUACAGAUCGAGAGAGGAGCAUAAAGCUCAUCAUAAAGCGCAACAGUAACUGGACACUCGGAGGGAGAGUAUACCUGUAUAUCUGUAAAGUGCGAACUAAAUUCUUCUUUUCUGAGCCUGUUCCUAUUUGUGUAAACUGGCAUCAGUUUAAAUUCUCACUCCCACUCCUCAAAUGUAUGUCACCCUUGGUCAAUUUAAAAAAAUCUUAUCUAGAGACAGAAAUCGUUAUUAAUGAGCCAAAAACGACACACAGAAAAACACUUAAACCGAGUGUUAACAUGUCAGAAGCUUUUCAUACAACCACUGAGGAAGUGCUUACAGGUGUGACAUGCUGACAAACCGGCUCUACCAGAUUUGGGGGUUGAUACGACAAGAAGGAUUUAGUUGAAGGUAAAUACAACACCCAGAAAUAAUUCACGUUAAUGUUUAUUGAAAAAAUAUAUAUAAAAAGUGUAGUGCCUUACAAAUCUCUUUAAAAAAAACAUCAAAUUUUGGGUAGUUUAUUUUGUAAUCAUGUCCUUUAAG